rnacentral:rRNA from 1 species
AGAAUCAACGCUGGCGGCGUGCCUAACACAUGCAAGUCGAACGAGAAAGGGUAGCAAUACCUGAGUAAAGUGGCGCACGGGUGAGUAACACGUGACUAACCUACCCUGGAGUGGGGGAUAACUGGGGAAACCUUAGCUAAUACCGCAUAACACCUACGGGUCAAAGGAGCAAUUCGCUUCAGGAGGGGGUCGCGGCCGAUUAGUUAGUUGGCGGGGUAAUGGCCCACCAAGACAGUGAUCGGUAUCC